rnacentral:tmRNA from 1 species
GGGGAUGUAAAGGUUUCGACGGGGAUUGCGAGCCUGAGUAAGCGAGUAGCGACGCGGAACGCUUUAAUUUCGCACCUUUAAAUUAAAUGACAAAAAUUCUAACGCUAACUAUAACUACAAUUAUGGGAUGGCGUACGCAGCCUAAUUAACGCUGCCGUCUUUACCGGGAGUACCGCGGCCUGGAUAAAGGCGUCGAUGAGCGGUGAACGUGAACAGGAGGAUGCCUUUGCUCCUGUCAUGACUGAAAGGCUACUAAUGCGCUGAGCCUGCUUAUGGGCGCGGCGCAGAGGGAAUGUUAAACCAUAAGCUAUACUCGUAGAAAGCUCUGGUAAGUGAUUUUCGGACACGAGUUCGAUUCUCGUCAUCUCCACCA